rnacentral:rRNA from 1 species
CCUACGGGGCGCAGCAGUGAGGAAUAUUGGUCAAUGGACGCAAGUCUGAACCAGCCAUGCCGCGUGCAGGAAGACGGCUCUAUGAGUUGUAAACUGCUUUUGUACGAGGGUAAAUCCCGAUACGUGUAUCGGGUUGAAAGUAUCGUACGAAUAAGGAUCGGCUAACUCCGUGCCAGCAGCCGCGGUAAUACGGAGGAUUCAAGCGUUAUCCGGAUUUAUUGGGUUUAAAGGGUGCGUAGGCGGUUCGAUAAGUUAGAGGUGAAAGCCCGGGGCUCAACUCCGGCACUGCCUCUGAUACUGUCGGGCUAGAGUUUAGUUGCGGUAGGCGGAAUGUAUGGUGUAGCGGUGAAAUGCAUAGAGAUCAUACAGAACACCGAUUGCGAAGGCAGCUUACCAAACUACGACUGACGUUGAGGCACGAAAGCGUGGGGAGCAAACAGGAUUAGAUACCCUUGUAGUC